rnacentral:lncRNA from 1 species
AGGAAAGGAAAGGAAUGGUAGAGGAGCUAGAAUAGAACAGGAGGAAAGGAAAGGUACAGGAGCUAGAAUAGAAUAGAGGAAAGGAAAGGGAGAGGAGCUAGAAUAGAAAAGAGGAAAGGAAAGGUAGAGGAGCUAGAAUAGAAAAGAGGAAAGGAAAGGUAGAGGAGCUAGAAUAGAAAAGAGGAAAUGAAAGGUAGAGGAGCUAGAAUAGAAAAGAGGAAAUGAAAGGUAGAGGAGCUAGAAUAGAACAGGAGGAAAGGAAAGGUAAAGGAGCUAGAAUAGAAUAGGAGGAAAGGAAAGGUAGAGGAGCUAGAAUAGAACAGGAGGAAAGGAAAGGUAAAGGAGCUAGAAUAGAACAGGAGGAAAGGAAAGGUAGAGGAGCUAGAAUAGAACAGGAGGAAAGGAAAGGUAAAGGAGCUACAAUAGAACAGGAGGAAAGGAAAGGUAAAGGAGCUAGAAUAGAACAGGAGGAAAGGAAAGGUAGAGGAGCUAGAAUAGAACAGGAGGAAAGGAAAGGUAAAGGAG